AUCCCGCGUGGCCAAGCCACCGCCCUCAGGAAACGCCAGGCGCCCGCGCGUCAAGCGUGGCUGCAGCGGGGGGAGAGGUGGCGGAGAGCCGCGAAGGCGACGCCGCUUAACAAUUUUGGAGGCGCUGGUGUGGAACGCAGAAAUUUAAAUACAGCUUGAUGAAGGCUCCCCGACUGCUCCAGAUGCACGACCUAAAUUAAAUGUUACCUUUUCACACGUUUCUGGCACAACAAUGGGCCGCACACAAAGUGGGCUCGGCGGGGUGUGAAGCCCAGGGAGGGGCGCGACCCCCCGCCUGGGCUAUUUGCCAGCCCCGGGGACCGCAGCACCAGCUCCCGCAGGAGUCUGCAAAGCCAUCUCCUGGCCGGGGCUCGGGGCUGGGGCUCGGGGCUGGGGCUGGAGCUUGGGGUGACCGUGUGCAUAAAGCUUUAUUGGAACCCAGCCGCGCGCAUCGGCUGCACUGUGUCCUGGUGCAGAGGCGCACCCCGGAAACCAGAAUAUAGGUAUUUUCUAGCCCUUGACGGGAAACGUGUCCCAACUUCUGCUAAAUUCUGUCCAGGUUUUCACUCGUCUGUUUGUGUCACAAACCUGGACUGAGCACCUACUAGGUGCUGGACCCUGAGCCAGGCGCUGGGAACACCAAAAGGAGUGUCAACAGCUGCCAAUCAACGACUGCCAGUUCCGCCAGGGGCUCGCAGUCUGUUGGGGAAACAGGCCUGGACAGCCGGGGCUUCCGCACGACCCAGCACCCAGCACCCAGCACCCGUUUCUGCUGCUUCAGCUGGAAUAGAAACCUAACAGCAGAGGCUGGGCCAGCCAUCCUGAACCACGAAGUAGAUUCGGGUCGGGAGGCCAAGAGGAUAGGCAGGCCCUGGAGUCUCGUCGCUAGGCACCACCCCACCACCUCCUAUCUUCACAAGUCUACGAGAUGUCAAAAUACCAAGAGUAAGAGGCAGAGCCCCCAAACAACAUGGCAGUGAAAGUGAAUGUAAGCAUCAAAGGAGAUAAUGAGCUGAUGAAGCACUUCACAAAGAGCCAGGAGCACAGAUAGCCACAAAGCAGGGGCCCAGGCUCUGAGGAGGAGGCUCCUGGGUGGAGAAUGUUUGAAGCCAAGAACCCCCAGGUGCCUCCUGGACGGGCUUUGACCCGGGACAUCUGCUGAGCAUCGUCACUACGGGAUAAGUCCUUACAAGAGCUGAGGGACAGAGGCACCGACGGUGUCCCACUCACUAUUUUGCUGGUCUUGAUUACUUUU